GUCGGAAGUUUGAGGCAAUAACAGGUCUGUGAUGCCCUUAGAUGUUCUGGGCUGCACGCGCGCUACACUGACACAGGCAGCGAGUCUUGCCUUGGCCGAGAGGUCUGGGGAAUCUUGGGAAACUGUGUCGUGCUGGGGAUAGAUCAUUGCAAUUAUUGGUCUUGAACGAGGAAUUCCUAGUAAGCGCAAGUCAUCAGCUUGCGUUGAUUACGUCCCUGCCCUUUGUACACACCGCCCGUCGCUACUACCGAUUGAAUGGCUUAGUGAGGCGUUUGGAGUGGUGGUUUUGGCUUUGGUUGGAACUAGUGCAAAAUCCGUCAAACUUGGUCAUUUAGAGGAAGUAAAAGUCGUAACAAGGUUUCCGUAGGUGAACCUGCGGAAGGAUCAUUAAUAGAUUGUGGGAGGGGUGGGGUGUGUGUGCUUUGUUGAUGUUGGCGGUUUGUGUGUAGUUGUGUGGUUGUGUGGUGUGGCUGUUUGUUUGACGGCUGACAUUUGACGGCCAACAUUUGACGGCUGACAUUUGGCAACUGGCAUUUGGCGACUGAUGCAUCAGGCAGUUGAUGUGGACAAGCCCGUGCUCCAGUCUCCUCCCUACUGCCUCGGGGACUUUGGGGUCUCCUGAGACAUAUACGCGUAUAGAGUAUGACUGAGUAAAAGGAUGAGUGAGAAAAGGACAACUUUUAACAAUGGAUCUCUUGGCUCUUGCAACGAUGAAGAACGCAGUAAAGUGCGAUAUCUAGUGUGAUUUGCAUGAAUCUGUGAGUCAUCGAGUCUUUGAACGCAACUUGCACCUUUUGGGAAACCUGGAGGUAUGUCUGUUUGAGAACCGGAUAAAUGUUGGUGGUGUGAUGUUGGGAUUGAUGAUGAUGAUGUUGAUGUUGAUGUUGGCGUUGGCGUUGUUGAUGUGAUGUUGACAAUGUUGAUGUUGAUGUUGAUAUUGGGAUUGUUGGGACUGCAAGAGCAGUGUUGAUCUGACAUUACAACAGCAGUGUUGAGAUAUUGCGAAUAUCUUGAAAUGGCGCAGGCUGAUGUGAUCUGGCCAGUCGUGUGCUAGGGACUCUCGGGUCUUGUUCACGAUCAGGUAGAGAAUGCAUCAAACGAGAAAAGAAAAAUGGUCUCAAAUCAGGCAAGAUUACCUGCUGAACUUAAGCAUAUCAGUAAGCGGAGGAAAAGAAACUAACAAGGAUUCCCCUAGUAACGGCGAGCGAAGCGGGAAUAGCUCAAAUUUAAAAUCUGGACAGAGGCUGUCCCGAAUUGUAGUCUAAAGAGGGCGAUCGAGGGUGUGUGGGUGGACCAAGUCUCUUGGAAUAGAGCGCCUGAGAGGGUGAGAGCCCCGUGUAGUCCGCGCAUGCAGCCAAGUGAGAGCCGUUCAAAGAGUCGAGUUGUUUGGGAAUGCAGCUCAAAGCGGGUGGUAGAUCUCAUCUAAGGCUAAAUAAUGGCAAGAGACCGAUAGCGAACAAGUACCGA
rnacentral:rRNA from 1 species